UACGUAGGGGGCAAGCGUUGUCCGGAAUCAUUGGGCGUAAAGCGCGUGUAGGCGGUUCGGUAAGUCUGCUGUGAAAGUCCAGGGCUCAACCCUGGGAUGCCGGUGGAUACUGUCGGACUAGAGUACGGAAGAGGCGAGUGGAAAUUCCCGGUGUAGCGGUGAAAUGCGCAGAUAUCGGGAGGAACACCAAUUGCGAAGGCAGCUCGCUGGGACGUCACUGACGCUGAGGAGCGAAAGCCAGGG
rnacentral:rRNA from 1 species